UACGGGGGGGGCAAGCGUUGUUCGGAAUUACUGGGCGUAAAGGGCGUGUAGGUGGCCAACUAAGUCCGACGUGAAAUCCCCAGGCUUAACCUGGGAACUGCGUCCGAUACUGGCAGGCUUGAAUCCGGGAGAGGGAUGCGGAAUUCCAGGUGUAGCGGUGAAAUGCGUAGAUAUCUGGAGGAACACCGGUGGCGAAGGCGGCAUCCUGGACCGGUAUUGACGCUGAGGCGCGAAAGCCAGGGGAGCAAACGGG
rnacentral:rRNA from 1 species